GCGGGAGAGACGGCGCGUGAAGUAGGUCGGGUUGUGGUAUGUGCGGAAAAGACUACCAAACUGGAAGUUGAAGAUGUCUUUGAUUACCUUUAUGGACUAAUGCUCAAAUAGUAGCACAUUUGAAAUAGUUUUGCUCAGGAAUGAUAGCUCCCGUUCUCCAACCGUGUUUCAGGGUCAGGUCCUACACCCAUCAUCACAUUUUCAUCACAUCAACAUUUGCAUAAUCUAUUCAUCGUCUUAAAUAAAUAUCAGUACAAGGCAUGUUGAGACAUGUUUAAUUCUGACAUGCACAUGACAUUAAUAAGACAGAACUACUAAUACUCUGCAUAUCCCAGAAUCCAAAAAGGAUAAAUCCAGAAUAAAGCAAUAAAACUUUUGAUUAGAAAAACUUCAACACUAAUAUAAAAAGAAUUGGUAAGACAUAGUUCAAUGUAGUUAAAAAUGGAUU